AGAUCUUGGAUGGUCAGAUGUUUGGGGAUCCUGACCUGAAUUUCCUGAAAUCUGUGAGACCCUGCUGUGUAAACUUCUCUAGAUUUGAUUUUCGGAAGCUCCCACCAACAACGAAAAAUAAAGAUUUAGGGAGAGGGACAGAGCUGUGCUGCAUUGACACCUAUAAACCUCCUCCAAAAAGAGAGAAAUUAAGCUCUGGAUAAAAGAGAGAUCCCUGCAGGAGAAUGGACUUCAAAAUGGAUCAGGCAUUAUCAAGGAAGAAGCGAUUCAGGUUAAAAGCUGGAAAGAUACUGAGUAUAUCUUCUAAUUAUUUUAGCUCAUCAUGUUUUCAUUUGAUGAUAGGAUGGAUGAAGUAUCAGAAAAUAUGGCAAGAAGAGAAUGGCAGGAGAGAAAGACACAAGAGUAGGACUGUAGUACAUG